rnacentral:rRNA from 1 species
CCUACGGGAGGCAGCAGUGGGGAAUAUUGCACAAUGGGGGGAACCCUGAUGCAGCGACGCCGCGUGAGUGAAGAAGUAUUUCGGUAUGUAAAGCUCUAUCAGCAGGGAAGAAAAUGACGGUACCUGACUAAGAAGCCCCGGCUAACUACGUGCCAGCAGCCGCGGUAAUACGUAGGGGGCAAGCGUUAUCCGGAUUUACUGGGUGUAAAGGGAGCGCAGACGGCUGUGCAAGUCUGGAGUGAAAGGCGGGGGCCCAACCCCCGGACUGCUCUGGAAACUGUAAAGCUUGAGUGCAGGAGAGGUAAGCGGAAUUCCUAGUGUAGCGGUGAAAUGCGUAGAUAUUAGGAGGAACACCAGUGGCGAAGGCGGCUUACUGGACUCCAACUGACGUUGAGGCUCGAAAGCGUGGGUAGCAAACAGGAUUAGAUACCCCGGUAGUC